rnacentral:lncRNA from 1 species
CCAUUACUCAAGGAAUGCCAACCUCAGUGAAUUUCAUUCCUGUACAUGUUUCACUGCCUUUCUCUUUUAAAAGAAUUAAUCUCUCUAAUAUGAAGUUUGGGAGAUUCACUGUAUUCCAUUCCUGCUGGUCAUACUUGAUGUCCAUGUGGAAUUCCUCUAGGAUUGUGCUGGAAGCAAUUGGCUCUCCUCUAUGCAGGGACAUUUUCUUUGGUCUCCUUUAGGCCUCCUCGUUCUCUAGUCUUUACUUCCUGCUGAACCUAUCUUAUUUGUUUUUUAUUAUUCAGAAAUUCCUCAAGGUUUCUGUUCAUUACAAUAUUCCAGAGUUUUAAUGAUUUAAUUCUUUGCUUUAUACCCCUUUGUUCAUUUUAAUAAUAUUAGGAUAUUGGGAUAAGUAAAGAUGUGCUCUUGAACAUGCGUGAUCUUAUACAGGGAUCCCACCAUAAGUUUAGUCAAAUGGAAGAGGGAAGGGGUGAAAUUGAUGUGUUAGGAAGAUAGUAUUGGCAGAAGUAAGAAAGAUGAAUAGAGGGAAAGGAGAAUGAAGAUCAUUUAGAAGUUGCACUUGUGCAACUAUUUGUAAUAUUUGAGUUCAUAAUGAUUCCAAUUCUAAUGGCCUAUCCUGAAAA